GAUGAACGCUGGCGGCGUGCCUAACACAUGCAAGUCGAGCGGAGAAUUGUUGCUUGCAACAAUUCUUAGCGGCGGACGGGUGAGUAACACGUGGGUAACCUGCCCUAAACAAAGGGAUAACAAUGAGAAAUCAUUGCUAAUACCGUAUAAGCUUACACUAUCGCAUGAUAGAGUAAGAAAAGAUUUAUCGGUUUAGGAGGGGCCCGCGUCUGAUUAGCUAGUUGGAGAGGUAACGGCUCACCAAGGCGACGAUCAGUAGCCGACCUGAGAGGGGGAUCGGCCACCAUGGGACUGAGACACGGCCCAAACUACUACGGGAGGAAGCAGUGGGGAAUAUUGCACAAUGGAGGAAACUCUGAUGCAGCAACGCCGCGUGAAGGAAGAAGGUUUUCGGAUCGUAAACUUCUAUCUACAGGGAAGAAAAAAAUGACGGUACCUGAGUAAGAAGCCCCGGCUAACUACGUG
rnacentral:rRNA from 1 species